AGCAAGAUGAUGAAAACUUGUAAUCUGAAUUAUGUGUGGAAAUACAAAUUCAAUGGUCUUCACAGUUCUCUGAUUGCU
rnacentral:snoRNA from 1 species